CCUACGGGAGGCAGCAGUGGGGAAUUUUGGACAAUGGGCGAAAGCCUGAUCCAGCAAUGCCGCGUGAGUGAAGAAGGCCUUCGGGUUGUAAAGCUCUUUUGUCAGGGAAGAAACGGUGAGGGCUAAUAUCCCUUGCUAAUGACGGUACCUGAAGAAUAAGCACCGGCUAACUACGUGCCAGCAGCCGCGGUAAUACGUAGGGUGCAAGCGUUAAUCGGAAUUACUGGGCGUAAAGCGUGCGCAGGCGGUUUUGUAAGUCUGUCGUGAAAUCCCCGGGCUCAACCUGGGAAUUGCGAUGGAGACCGCAAGGCUAGAAUCUGGCAGAGGGGGGUAGAAUUCCACGUGUAGCAGUGAAAUGCGUAGAGAUGUGGAGGAACACCGAUGGCGAAGGCAGCCCCCUGGGUCAAGAUUGACGCUCAUGCACGAAAGCGUGGGGAGCAAACAGGAUUAGAUACCCUGGUAGUCCACGCCCUAGACGAUGUCUACUAGUUGUCGGGUUUUAAUUAACUUGGUAACGCAGCUAACGCGUGAAGUAGACCGCCUGGGGAUACGGUCGCAAGNUUAAAACNCAAAGGAUUGACGG
rnacentral:rRNA from 1 species